CCUACGGGAGGCAGCAGUGGGGAAUAUUGCACAAUGGGGGAAACCCUGAUGCAGCGACGCCGCGUGAGCGAAGAAGUAUUUCGGUAUGUAAAGCUCUAUCAGCAGGGAAGAAAAUGACGGUACCUGAGUAAGAAGCUCCGGCUAAAUACGUGCCAGCAGCCGCGGUAAUACGUAUGGAGCAAGCGUUAUCCGGAUUUACUGGGCGUAAGGGGAGCGUAGGCGGCCUGCCAGGUCUGAUGUGAAAUACCGGGGCUCAACCCCGGGGCUGCAUUGGAAACUGGCAGGCUGGAGUGCCGGAGAGGCAGGCGGAAUUCCUAGUGUAGCGGUGAAAGGCGUAGAUAUUAGGAGGAACACCAGUGGCGAAGGCGGCCGGCUGGACGGUGACUGACGCUGAGGCUCGAAAGCGUGGGGAGCAAACAGGAUUAGAUACCCCUGUAGUC
rnacentral:rRNA from 1 species